rnacentral:rRNA from 1 species
CCUACGGGUGGCAGCAGUGGGGAAUAUUGGGCAAUGGGCGCAAGCCUGACCCAGCAACGCCGCGUGAAGGAAGAAGGCUUUCGGGUUGUAAACUUCUUUUGUCAGGGACGAAGCAAGUGACGGUACCUGACGAAUAAGCCACGGCUAACUACGUGCCAGCAGCCGCGGUAAUACGUAGGUGGCAAGCGUUAUCCGGAUUUAUUGGGUGUAAAGGGCGUGUAGGCGGGAAUGCAAGUCAGAUGUGAAAACUAUGGGCUCAACCCAUAGCCUGCAUUUGAAACUGUAUUUCUUGAGUGCUGGAGAGGAGAUUGGAAUUCCGGGGGUAGCGGGGAAAUGCGGAGAUAUACGGAGGAACACCAGUGGCGAAGGCGGAUUGCUGGACAGUAACUGACGCUGAGGAGCGAAAGCGUGGGGAGCAAACAGGAUUAGAUACCCGGGUAGUC